UCUAUCUCUAUUGAUUUGUUCUUGCACACCUUUGUCAAUUAUUUUACUCUUUUCAAAUCUUAAUUCCAUUUCUAUCCAUUUACUCAUGUUAUUGAUGUGGUCACAACUUGCUUCAUGCAUUUUACGCUUUUUACCAAUAUUUUUCCAAUCAUUUACUCCAUCAUGUGCCAAUUGGGUUCUGAUCCCAUCAUUCUUGAAUAGCUUACAAUAAAAGCAAAAUACUUUAUCCAAACUUUUUAAAUAUAUCAACCAUUUUCUAUCAUACUUCUCUCCAUUAGGUAUUCGUCGAACGUAAUGUGUGGAUGAGAAGUGUCGAUUUGCUCCAUCUUUCGGAAAAAUCAUAUCAUCUUCUCUUACAGGACCUUUCAUUACAAUUAAAUCUCUUAAAUUCGUAUUCAUAUUUCCCCAAUUUGCUAGAUCAACAUGGUCAAGAGAAAAUGGUUCAUUAUCUUUGUCAGUAGAUACCUCUUCAUUCAUCACACAAUGUCCUUCUUCAAUUGUAUUAUUAUUGUUGUCAUUCUCAUUUAACACUUCUUCAGUAGCUAUGUCAUCGUUGUGUGUUCGUUUACUACUACCAAAAAACUUAUCAAGUGCUCCCUCUUGAGAUUUAAUCAAUUUUUCAAUCUUUUCCUUCCUU
rnacentral:lncRNA from 1 species